AACCUUAUAUUCAAAAUUAUGAUUUUAGACUGCAAUUCUAAAGGUGUAGAAAUAUACUAAGGUUU
rnacentral:tRNA from 1 species